rnacentral:rRNA from 1 species
UACGUAGGCAGCGAGCGUUGUUCGGAAUUACUGGGCGUAAAGAGUGUGUAGGCGGUGCUCUAAGUUCGGUGUGAAAAUCUCCUGGCUCAACUGGGAGGGUGCGCCGGAAACUGGAGUGCUUGAGCGUGGGAGAGGAAAGCGGAAUUCCUGGUUGUAGCGGUGAAAUGCGUAGAUAUCAGGAGGAACACCUGUGGUGUAGACGGCUUUCUGGACCAUAGCUGACGCUGAGACACGAAAGCGUUGGGUAGCAAACAGG